GGGUGGGGUGGUGAUGGUGGUGGUGAAGGAUCCUGGUAUUUAGGAGCCAAGGAUCCUAGACAAUACUGCAAUGACCAGGACAGUGCUGCACAAAAAAGAAUUGUCCCACAUCUCACAUGACUUUUAAAAGCCCCAUUGGAGGCCAGGCGCCAUGGCUCACACCUGUAAUCCCAGCACUUUGGUAGGCCGAGGCGGGCGGAUCACCUGAGGUCAGGAGGUCGAGACCAGCCUGGCCAGCAUAGUGAAACCCCAUUUCUACUAAAAAUACAAAAAUUAGCUGGGCAUGGUGGUGGGAGCAUGUAAUUCCAGCUACUCGGGAGGCUGAGGCAGGAGAAUUGCUUGAACCUGGGAGGCGGAGGCUGCAGUGAGCUGAGAUCGUGCCACUGCACUCCGGCCUGGGCGACAGAGCAAGACUUUGUCUUUAAAAAAAUAAAUAAAUAAAAAUCCAAAAAUUAGUUGUCCAUGCUUGCGUGCACCUGUAGUCCCAGAUACUCGGGACGCUGACGCAGGAGAAUCGCUUGAACCAGGGAGGCGGAGGUUGUAGUGAGCUGGGAUCGCACCACUGCACUCCAGCCUGGGUGACAGAAUGAGACUCCAUCUAAAAAAAAAAAAGUCCCAUUGGAUAUUAAUUUAGGUAAAUAAAGCCUGUUAUAACCAGAAGGAGCCUGGAACACAACUCCAUUUUACAUAUAAAUGCAAAGUAUUUUUGUCAUUGUUUUAGACCCUGAAUUUCCAAGAAAUACAAGUAAUGUGUAGAUUGAAGGGACAUCAUAAUUUUUGUUCAGAACUUUACCAAGAGUUGUUUGCCAUUUCAGGAAUCCAUGUCAUAAGACAAUGCUAUCUGUGGUAUUUGAGUCUCUAAUACCUACCUAUCAGUUUGCAUGUAUUACUGUUGCAUUCACAGCAGUUUUUUUUUGUUUGUUUUUGAGACUGUCUUGCUCUGCCUCCCAGGCUGGAGUGCAGUGGCAGCAUCUCGGCUCACUACAGCCUCCAUCUCCUGGGCUCAAUUGAUCCUCCCGCCUCAGCCUCACAAGUAGCUGGGACUACAGGCAUGUGCCACCACACCCAGCUAGUUUUUGUAUGUUUUGUAGAGAAGGGGGUAUCGCCACAUUGCCCAGGCUGGUCUUGAACUCCUGGGCUCAAGUGAUCCGCCUAAUAAAAAUUAGCCGGGCAUGGUGGUGCUUGCCUGUAGUCCCAGCUACUCGUGAGGCUGUGGCAGAAGGAUCGCUAGAGCCCAGGAGACCAAGGUUGCAGUGAGCCAAGAUCGUGCCACUGCACUCCAGCCUAGGCAACAGAGUAAAACCAUGCCUCAAAUCAAUCAAUCAAUCAAUCAAUCAAUCAGUCAAUCAAUCUGACUUAAAAUUAGCCGGGCAUGGUGGCGGGCGCCUGUAGUCCCAGCUACUCGGAGAGGCUGAGGCAGGAGAAUGGCGUGAGCCCGGGAGGCGGAGCUUGCAGUGAGCCGAGAUCGCGCCACUGCACUCCAGCCUGGGUGACAGAGCGAGACUCCGUCCCAAAAGAAAAAAAAAAAAUCCUACAUGACUCCAAAGCCACUUUUGAAGGAAAGAAGGUAUUACUGAAGAUGAUUCUGAAUCAGGUCUAUUUAUGGUAAAUAAAUUUUUUUCUUUAACACCAUAAUUUGACAUUCAACAUUUCCCUUGAUUCUCUAACAGUUAUAUAUUAUUACUCCUAUUUUAUAGAUUAAGAAGGAUUCAUAGAGAGAGACUAAAUAAUUUCCUUAAAACUUUAGGCCUUUCUGACUUCAUAACUCAUAUUUUAUUUUAAACCCCUAAUACUCCUCUGAUGGUCUCCUGCAUUCAGAAAUAAGUUGCGUAGCUGGGUGUGGUGGUUUAUGCCUGUAAUCUCAGCACUUUGGGAGGCCGUGGCUGGAAGAUUGCACAAGGCCGUGAGUUUGAAACCAGCCUGGACAACAUAGUGAGACCCUGUCUAUACAAAAAAUUAAAAAUAAAAAAUAAUUUUAAAAAGGAAGAAAUUAGGCUGGGCAUGGUGGCUCAUGUGUCCAAUCCUAGCACUUUGGGAGGCCAAGGCUGGCAGAUCACCUGAGGCCAGGAGACCAGUCUGACCUAUAUGGUGAAACCCUGUCUCCACUAAAAAUACAAGAAAAUUAGCCAGGCAUGGUGGUGCACAACUGUAGUCCCAGCUACUCAGAAGGCUAAGAAUCUCUUGAAUCUGGGAGGUGGAGGUUGCAGUGAGCCGAGAUGGGGUUUCUCCAUGUUGGCCAGGCUGGUCUCAACCUCCUGACCUCAGGUGAUCCGCCCGCCUUGGCCUCCUAAAGUGCUGGGAUUACAAGUGUGAGCCACCGUGCCCAGCUGCAGCAUUUUUUUUUUUCUGAAACAGGGUCUCACUCUGUUGCCUAGGCUAGAGUGCAGUGGUGAGAUCUCAGCUCACUGCAACCUCUGCCUCCCAGGCUCAACUGAUCCUCCAACCGCAGCCUCACGAGUAGCUGGGACUACGGGUGUGCAACACCACACCUGGCUAAUUUUUGAAUUUUUUGUAGAGAUGAGGUUUUGCCAUGUUGCCCAAGCUAGUCUCAAACUCCUGGGCUCAAGCCAUCCACAUGCUUUUGCCUCCCAAAGGGCUGGGAUUACAGGCAUAAGACACUGUGCCCAGCCACAAAGCAGCAAUUUAUCAUUAAAUGGAAAUGGUUAUAUGUGAUGGUUAAUUUUAAGUGUCAACUUGACUGGGCCACAAGGUGCCCAGAUACUUGGUUCAACAUUAUUCUGGGUGUGUCUGUGAGGGUGUUUCUGGAUGAGACUAACAUUAGAAUCAGUAGUCUGAAGCAGAUUAUCCUCCCCAUUAUAGGUGAGCCUCAUCCAAUCUAUUGAAGGUGUAAAUAGAACAAAAGGCUGAAUGAGAGAAAAUUCAUUCUCUCUGCCUGAUGGUAUUCAAACUGAGACAUUGGUAUUCUCCUGCCUUUGGACUUGAAUUGGAACUUAUGCCAUUAACUUGCUGGUAGUCAGGCCUGCAGACUGCAGGUUUUGGAACUUCUCUGCAGAUCUUGAGAAUUCCCAGCCUCCAAAAUCAUGUGAGCUAAUUUCUUAUAAUAAACAUAUAUCUAUAUCUAUAUUGGUUAUAUUAUAGAUGAAGAAGAGAUACAUGAAUGGAACACAGAAUGGAUACAGACUGUGAAAAAAUUAAUGUUCCAGGUGACUGUCCACCAAAAGCCUCUUUUCCUGGCACCCCCAGUGCUGCUCAGUUAGCCCUUGGACAAAGUGGCCAUUUUGGCAGGCAUGGAGCCUAUGCAUGAGCUCAACAACACAGAGUUUCCCUUACCAAGGCUGAUCUAAUUAAUGCUACCACUGAGUGCCUAAUAUGUCAAGAGCAGAAACCAACAUUGAGGCCCUGAUACACACUAUUCUCUGAGGGGACCACCUUCCCACUGGAUGCUUAAUGGCAGGUUAAUUACACUGGCCUUCCUCCAUCAUGGAGGGGGCAGAGGGUUUUUUGUUUCGUUUUGUUUUUGAGGCAGGGUCUUGCUCUGUCACUCAGGUUGGAGUGCAGUGGCACAAUCACACAAUUACAGCUCACUGCAACCUCUGUCUCCUGGGCUGAAGCAAUCCUCCCACCUCAGCCUCCCAAGUAGCUGAGAUUACAGGCAUGAACCACCACGCCCUGCCAAAAGAUACAUUCUGAAUAUGGAUUUGCUUUCCUUAUACACAAUGCGUUUACCAGGACCACCAUUUGUGGGCUUACAAAAUGCCUUAUCCAUAGUCAUGGCAUUCCCCAUAGCAUUGUGUCUAAUCAAGGAACUUAUUUCACAGCAAAGGAAGUACAGUAAUGAGCUCAAUGUUCAUGGAAUUAAGUGAUCUUACCACAUUUCUCAUCACCUGGAAGCAGAUGCCUAUUUGAAACAUGGACUGACUUACUAAAGACUCACAGCAACACUUGGCAGACAAUACCCUGAAACAAUGGGGAUCUAUCUUACAAGCAGCUUUGAGCUCUGCUGGUUUGGAGGACUUUGUCUCCAAAGGAAGAUUGUGUCCACCAGUGAACACAGCAAUGGUUUCAUUGACUUGGAAGACAAGAAUGCCACCUAGCCAUUUGGGGCUUUAUAUGACACUGAACAAAAAAGCCAAACAAAAGGAUUAUAAUAGUUCCCCCUAUCCACUUAUUUAUGGCUUCACUUCUCAAAGUUUCAGUUUCCCACAGCCAACUGUGGUCUGAAAAUAUUAAAUGGAAAAUCACAGAAAUAAACAAUUCAAGAAUUUUAAAUUGCAUACUGUUCUGAGUAGCGUGAUGAAAUCUUGUGCUGCCAGGGAUGUAAUUAUCCUUUUUCCAGCAUAUCCAUGCUGUAUACAUUACCUGCCCUUUAGUCAUUUAGUAUCUAUCUCAGUUAUCAAACCAACUGUCCAAGUGCUUGUGUUCAAGUAAUCCUCAUUUUACUCAAUAAUGGCCCCAAAAUGCAAGAGUAGUGAUGUUGGCAUACUGUUAUAAUUGUUUUCUAUUAUUAGUAGUUAUUUAUGUUAAUCUCUUACUGUGCCUAACUGGUAAAUUAAACUUUAUCAUAGGCCAGAUGCGGUGGCUCAUGCCUGUAAUCUCAGCACUUUGGGAGGCCGAGGUGGGCGGAUCACCUGAGGUAAGGAGUUUGAGAUCAGCCUGGGCAACAUGGUGAAACCCUG
rnacentral:lncRNA from 1 species